UUUGUUUGUUUUUUUUUUUUUCGUCAUUGUAGAUUCUUUUCAAGUAUCCUCCUAGGAAGAGCUUUGCCGUAAAUGAGAUGUUUGGUUUCGAUCUGUUCAGACCAGGCAAAGCUAGAUUGAGGAAAUCAAUCAACAGCAAGCAGAAGUACUAGAUGCCCAACUGAUGGUUGAGCAGCUUCAACAACAAUAUCAGUUGCUCAUGCCCCAAAAUGAGAUGUUGAAGUUGGUUGCAUUAUGCUGAGCGGAUUCUUAUUGGGUUGGAAAAGGUGAUUCGAACAGUUUCUUCUGAAACGGUCAAGCAAUUUUAUAAUAUAUGGUACUAUUUACACAAUAUGGCUGUGGUCGCUGUUGGAGAUUUUACUGAUACACAGUGUAGUUGAAUUGACAAGGACUCGCUUUGGGGGAAAAGUUUCAAUCUCCACCCCGCCACUUAUACCAGAAUUUCCUGUUCCAUCUCAUGGUGAACCACGCUUUUCAUGUUUUGUUGAAUCUGAAGCUGGUGGGGUACAAAUUGAAAGAUCCAUUGAUUUAAGAUCCUAGUGACUAUUUGUUCAAGCUCUUGCGUAUUGGAGAUUCUGGUGUUGGCAAAUCACGUCUUCUUUUGAGAUUUGUGCCUGCGGAGGGGCUGGGGCUGACAAUAUACAUCAACUCCCAAGGUGGAUGAGUGCAAGUCUGCACAUGGGUGGAAUUUCCUGACAAUAUACCACAGCUUAUGGUUGGGCCCUGGCCCAUCUGAGAUAGCACCCAUCUCCAAGAUCAUCUGAAACCAUUGUCUCCUGAUAUGUGCCAAUUGACUGGCCUAUGGUACUUAUAAGUGGAUACUAAUGGAACCUGCAUCAAUGGUUGUCUGGUACUUAUUAAGUGGAUACUAAUGAUAUUCUAUUUCAGCCUGCCACCACUAAUGAUAGGAUCCACAGCAAAAUGGGUGAAGGCUGGUGAGUUGGCCGAAAAUGUUUCAAAAAUGAUUGAUUCUCAUUUUGCAGAGAAGAUUGAUAUGUCAGAAGUGCAGGAUAAGUUCUUAGUGGUGAUCACAAAAGCAUUGAUUCCAUUAGUACAUGGGCUAUAAACUAAAUUUGAUACUGAAAUGGUUGCAAUGACACGUGUUCCAUGGGGUACUCUUAAAAGUGUUGGUGACCAAUCAGAGUACGGCUCCACUCUCCUAUUUUGUGUGAUGCAUCAUUUGAGGAUCAAAUGAAAGAAAUGUCAUUCUUUUUGUUUGAACCAGCGGUGGUACAUAUGGAUGCCAUCUUUCAAUAGUA